rnacentral:rRNA from 1 species
AGUGAACGCUGGCGGUAGGCCUAACACAUGCAAGUCGAACGGCAGCACAGUAAGAGCUUGCUCUUACGGGUGGCGAGUGGCGGACGGGUGAGGAAUACAUCGGAAUCUACUUUUUCGUGGGGGAUAACGUAGGGAAACUUACGCUAAUACCGCAUACGACCUACGGGUGAAAGCAGGGGAUCUUCGGACCUUGCGCGAUUGAAUGAGCCGAUGUCGGAUUAGCUAGUUGGCGGGGUAAAGGCCCACCAAGGCGACGAUCCGUAGCUGGUCUGAGAGGAUGAUCAGCCACACUGGAACUGAGAGACGGUCCAGACUCCUACGGGAGGCAGCAGUGGGGAAUAUUGGACAAUGGGCGCAAGCCUGAUCCAGCCAUACCGCGUGGGUGAAGAAGGCCUGCGGGUUGUAAAGCCCUUUUGUUGGGAAAGAAAAGCAGCAGGUUAAGACCCCGCUGUUCUGACGGUACCCAAAGAAUAAGCACCGGCUAACUUCGU